rnacentral:rRNA from 1 species
AGGACGAACGCUGGCGGCGUGCUUAACACAUGCAAGUCGAGCGGUAAGGCCUUUCGGGGUACACGAGCGGCGAACGGGUGAGUAACACGUGGGUGAUCUGCCCUGCACUCUGGGAUAAGCCUGGGAAACUGGGUCUAAUACCGGAUAUGACCUGCUCUCGCAGUGGGGGUGGGUGGAAAGAUUUAUCGGUGCAGGAGUGGGCCCGCGGCCUAUCAGCUUGGUUGGUGGGUAAUGGCCUACCAAGGCGACGACGGGUA